rnacentral:rRNA from 1 species
GACGAACGCUGGCGGCGUGCUUAACACAUGCAAGUCGAACGGAAAGGCCCUGCAUUUGUGGGGUGCUCGUGUGGCGAAAGGGUGAGUAACACGUGAGUAACCUGUCCCUGACUUUGGGAUAACUUCAGGAAACUGGGGCUCAUACCGGAUAGGAGAUCCUGCUGCAUGGUGGGGGUUGGAAAGUUUCGGCGGUUGGGGAUGGACGCGCGGCUUAUCAGCUUGUUGGUGGGGUAGUGGCUUACCAAGGCUUUGACGGGUAGCCGGCCUGAGAGGGUGACCGGCCACAUUGGGACUGAGAUACGGCCCAGACUCCUACUGGAGGCAGCAGUGGGGAAUAUUGCACAAUGGGCGGAGGCCUGAUGCAGCAACGCCGCGUGCGGGAAGACUGCCUUCGGGUUGUAAACCGCUUUCGCCUGUAACGAAGCGUGAGUGACGGUAAUGGGUAAAGAAGCACCGGCUAACUACGUG